rnacentral:rRNA from 1 species
AAACUCCGCAAUACGCGAAAGCGUGACGGGGCCACCCCGAGUGCCGUCCGCUGAGGACGGCUUUUCCCCAGUGUAGAUAGCUGGGGGGAUAAGGGGAGGGCAAGUCGGGUGUCAGCCGCCGCGGUAAUACCCGCUCCCCGAGUGGUGGGGACGCUUAUUGGGCCUAAAGCAUCCGUAGCCGGCUGGACAAGUCCCCUGUUAAAUCCAGCGAUUCAAUCGCUGGACUGCGGGGGAUACUGUCCAGCUAGGGGGCGGGAGAGGCCGACGGUAUUCCCGGGGUAGGGGUGAAAUCUUAUAAUCCCGGGAGGACCACCAGUGGCGAAGGCUGUCGGCUAGAACGCGCCCGACGGUGAGGGAUGAAAGCUGGGGGAGCGAACCGGAUUAGAUACCCGGGUAGUCCCAGCUGUAAACGAUGCGGGCUAGGUGUUGACACGGCUACAAGCCGUGUCAGUGCCGCAGGGAAGCCGUUAAGCCCGCCGCCUGGGGAGUACGGCCGCAAGGCUGAAACUUAAAGGAAUUGGCGGGGGAGCACCACAAGGGGUGAAGCUUGCGGUUUAAUUGGAGUCAACGCCGGAAACCUUACCGGGGGCGACAGCAGAAUGAAGGCCAGAUUAAAGGUCUUGCCAGACAAGCUGAGAGGAGGUGCAUGGCCGUCGCCAGUUCGUGCCGUGAGGUGUCCUGUUAAGUCAGGCAACGAUCGAGACCCGCAUCCCCUGUUGCUACCGGCCUUGAGCCGGGCACACUGGGGAGACUGCCGCCGAUAAGGCGGAGGAAGGAGCGGGCCACGGCAGGUCAGUAUGCCCCGAAUCCCCCGGGCCACACGCGAGCUGCAAUGGCAGGUACAAUGGGUUCCAACCCCGAAAGGGGGAGGCAAUCCCUAAAGCCUGCCGUAGUUGGGAUCGAGGGCUGAAACCCGCCCUCGUGAACAUGGAAUCCCUAGUAAUCGCGCGUCACUAUCGCGCGGUGAAUACGUCCCUGCUCCUUGCACACACCGCCCGUCGCUCCACCCGAGCGGGGCUUGGGUGAGGCGUGGUCCCUGUUGGCUGCGUCGAAUCCAAGCUUCGUGAGGGGGGAG